rnacentral:rRNA from 1 species
AUUGAACGCUGGCGGCAGGCCUAACACAUGCAAGUCGAGCGAGCGGCGGACGGGUGAGUAAUGUAUGGGGACUGCCCGAUAGAGGGGGAUAACUACUGGAAACGGUGGCUAAUACCGCAUACUAUCGGAUAACCCAUAUGGGAUUAGCUAGUAGGUGGGGUAAAGGCUCACCUAGGCGACGAUCUCUAGCUGGUCUGAGAGGAUGAUCAGCCGCACUUAGACUAAGACACUGCCCAGACUCCUACGGAGACAGCAGUGAGGAAUAUUGAGCAAUAGGCACAAGCCUGAUGCAGCCAUGCCGCGUGUAUGAAGAAGGCCUUAGGGUUGUAAUGUACUUUCAGCGGGGGGGCGUUACCCGCAGAAGAAGCACCGGCUAACUCCGUGCCAGCAGCCGCGGUAAUAC